UUGACCUCGGAUCAGGUAGGGAUACCCGCUGAACUUAAGCAUAUCAAUAAGCGGAGGAAAAGAAACCAACAGGGAUUACCUCAGUAACGGCGAGUGAAGCGGC
rnacentral:rRNA from 3 species